GAUAGGUUAAGUUAAUAAGGGCGCAUGGUGGAUGCCUUGGCACUAGAAGGCGAUGAAGGACGUGACUAACUACGAUAUGCCUCGGUUAGCUGUAAGUAAGCUUACCCGGGGGUUUCCGAAUGGGGCAACCCGAUCUUAAUGAUCAUCAUCUUUUUGAAUUCAUAGAUUAGAUGAAGCAAACGCUGUGAACUGAAACAUCUAAGUAGCAGUAGGAAAGUAAAGAAAUUUCGAUUCCGUCAGUAGCGGCGAGCGAACGCGGAAGAGCCCAAACCUGGAUGCUUGCAUCCAGGGGUUGUAGGACUGAUGUUGAGUUACAAAGGUAUAAGAUAGCAGAAACAGUUGGGAAGCUGUUCCAAAGAGGGUGACAGGCCCGUAUGCGAAAUCUUGUACUCUCUAAUCAGGAUCCUGAGUACGGCCCAGCACGUGAAAUUGGGUCGGAAUCUGGGAGGACCAUCUCCCAAGGCUAAAUACUAACUAGUGACCGAUAGCGAACAAGUACCGUGAGGGAAAGGUGAAAAGAACCCCGGAAGGGGAGUGAAAUAGUUCUUGAAACCGUGUGCUUACAAGAAGUUCGAGGCCGUUAAUGGCUGAGAGCGUGCUUUUUGUAGAAUGAACCGGAGAGUUACGAUUGCGUGCAAGGUUAAGGUGCAAAGACUGGAGCCGUAGCGAAAGCGAGUCUUAAUAGGGCGAAUCAGUACGUAGUUGUAGACCCGAAACCGAGUGACCUAUCCAUGGUCAGGUUGAAGGUGGGGUAAUAC
rnacentral:rRNA from 1 species